rnacentral:rRNA from 1 species
CUCAACCGUGAAAUGGCGUUGGAAACCGGAUGGCUUGAGCAGGCUAGGGGUGUGUGGAACUUCCAGUGGAGCGGUGAAAUGUGUUGAUAUUGGAAGGAACGCCGGUGGCGAAAGCGACACACUGGGGCCUGACUGACGCUGAGGCACGAAAGCCAGGGUAGCGAACGGGAUUAGAUACCCCGGUAGUCCUGGCUGUAAACGCUGGGCACUAGUUGGGAGAGGCUUCGGCCCCUCCGGACGCAGAGAAAUCACUAAGUGCCCCGCCUGGGGAGUAUGGUCGCAAGGCUGAAACUCAAAGGAAUUGACGGGGGCUCACACAAGCGGUGGAGCAUGUGGCUUAAUUCGAGGCAACGCGAAGAACCUUAUCCUGGAUUUGACAUCAAGGGAUUANCCUCCUGAAAGGGAGGUGACGCCNUCGGGUGGAACC